rnacentral:rRNA from 1 species
UGGCGGUAUGUAUAAUACAUGCAAGUCGAACGCUCCGAUUUAUCGGAGAGUGGCGAACGGGUGAGUAAUACGUUGGAACCUGCCCCGAACUCAGGGAUAACAUCUAGAAAUAGAUGCUAAUACCGGAUAGUCCCGAAAGGGUAAAGAUUUUUCGGUUCGGGAGGGGCCUGCGGCCUAUCAGCUUGUUGGUGAGAUAAUGGCUUACCAAGGCUAUGACGGGUAACUGGUCUGAGAGGAUGACCAGUCACAAUGGGACUGAGACACGGCCCAUACUCC